AAAGACAGGCAAUGGAAAGAGUAGCCUGGGAAACUGUAUUCUGGGUAAAGAGGAAUUUGAAACUGGUACUGGUAUGUUUUCGACAACAGCAAGAGCUGAAAAGAGAUCAAGAAUUAGUAGCGUGAAAACUAUAACGGUUGUGGACACACCAGACAUCGAUAACCUUCAUUACGGUCCUGACGAGAGGGAGCAAGAAGUCCAGAGCUGGAAAAGAAUGACAUCACUUGACCAUCCAACCAUCCUACUUGCUUUGCGCUGUGACGAGGAGUUUGCCAUCUACAAAGACUUUAAGCGCCUUUGGGGGGACAACGCCGGCAUCAGGCGCCAUCUCGUUGUGGCCUUCACCUUUGGGGACAAGCAGACGCGAGACCUCAAGAGGAGCUGAGGGUGUGUGUAUGAGCUGAAGAGUGUCUUGAAAGAUGCCAACCACCGCUACAUGCUUUUCAACAAAAAGGGCCUGAACAAAACAGAGCAAGUCGAUCAGCUGUUUAAAGUCAUCAGAUCACCAUACAGGUCGGAGGCCUCACAGAAACCGAAAAUCAUGUCCAUGGUCUGCAUGGCCAUCGGUCUACUAGCGGCAGGUGGCUGUGUCACUGCGGGAGUCUUCCACGAGCUGGAUUUGGCUAUCGGCCUGGGGGUGGUUGCUUUGUUGAUAGUCCUUCUGGCGCUGGUAUGUCGGUGUAAAUUCCGAAAAUAAAUCUGAUCAACUUGUUACUCCUCAGACAUUUUUUUACAAAGCUGAUUUUCUAAACAAUAAAGGAAAAUUUGUCUGAUGUCUUAAUCUUAAUUCAGAAGAUAAAGAUUUA